UCCUUGGUGGUCCAGUGGUUAAGACUCUACACUUUCACUGCAGGGGACAUGGGUUCAAUUCCUCAUCAGGGAA
rnacentral:tRNA from 1 species